ACGGGCCCAGCCGCUCCGCGGCAUGUGGGAUCUUUCUGGACCGGGGCACGAACCCGCGUCCCCCGCAUUGGCAGGCGGACUCUCAACCACUGCGCCACCAGGGAAGCCCGUAUUUUCUGUGCACAAGUUGGGAAGGGUGACUACAGACCCUAGCAAGAGGAAGGUGAUUAUAUCCCUUUGAAAACCUAACUACAGAUGACAUAAAGAUAUAAGAAAAUCACUCAUUCUUUGGGGGAAGAUUCCAAAAUCCAAUUCUGAGCUUGGAAGAAAAGUCAACAAUGGAAAACAUCCUCUGGUUGCUUCUCCCUGUCCUUCUCUUCAGUAGGAAGCAACAGGAAGAAGCCUGGGGAGCCUGGGUUUUCCAGAGAGCUUGUGACCAGGUGUCUGAUGAGUCUGCAUGAGAAGAAGCAAAGCCAGGAAGAAGGGAUCAAGCUGUGCAUUAGAAGAGCGGACAGGCUCACAAGGACCUUUCGCAGAACACACACACAUCACAUACCUCCUUCUCGCUGACUCUUACAACAACCCUGUACAGAAGCACCGCUCUGGAUCUGAACAAGGUCAGGUGGCCAAGACAACCAGGACCAGCGCUCAAGUUAAGUUGUACCACACCAAGGUCAGUGCUCUCGCCACUAUGAGUUACCAAUGUCAAGGUUGGGGGUGGGGGGACAACUUUCUGAAUCAGCUGAGGCAGCUUAUCACACACACACUUGCGUUGCUUAACUACAAAGUCUGGUCCAAAAAGAUUUCUCAGUCUCCCUUUCUGUCUUUCCUUCUUUCUCUAAUUAUCACACUUAUUAUUCAGAUAAACAUCUAUAUUCCACUUGGAUAUUCUAGGUCUUCUGC